GAGUUUGAUCCUGGCUCAGAUUGAACGCUGGCGGAAUGCUUUACACAUGCAAGUCGAGCGGCAGCGCGGGGCAACCUGGCGGCGAGCGGCGAACGGGUGAGUAAUGCAUCGGAACAUGUCCAUGUCGUGGGGGAUAGCCCGGCGAAAGCCGGAUUAAUACCGCAUACGCCCGAGAGGGGAAAGUGGGGACCGCAAGGCCUCACGCGAUUGGUUGGCCGAUGUCCGAUUAGCUAGUUGGCGGGUAAAGGCCCACCAAGGCGAUGAUCGGUAGCUGGUCUGAGAGGAUGAUCAGCCACACUGGGACUGAGACACGGCCCAGACUCCUACGGGAGGCAGCAGUGGGGAAGUUUUGGACAAUGGGGAAACCCUGGAUCCAGCCAUUCCGCGUGAGUGAAGAAGGCCUUCGGUUGUAAG
rnacentral:rRNA from 1 species